AAGAUAAUAUGCUUCAUUGGUGUUGUGUUUUGAAGUGUGAAAUGCAAAGUAAUUGUGAUAAAGUCAAGAUAAAGUUCACUUUUAAACUGAACUAAAUAAGGUAUCUGAGAGACAACAAUGGUUAAAUGCAAUACAAUGUACAGGUUUUACUAGCGAAAUGAAAAUUUUCCUGUCCUGUCUGCUGUAAUCAUUUUAUAUCUGGAAAACCAGCCGACUUAAUAGAUAAUAACAAUCUCCAGAUUGGGUUCCUUCAAUAAAUAUGGGCUAUAAACACAAUGAAAUAAGUUCCCCAAAAUCUAAAAUGGAGUGCUAUCAAAGGAGAA
rnacentral:lncRNA from 1 species